AGACAUUCUUCCAAGUUGCUUCCCUGGAAGAUAUUUCGUCCCAGCAAUCCCUCUCCAGUUCCAUGUGACCAUUCCUACUCUGAGCCAGUUUUGGAAAGGAAGUCAUCUCACAUGCCACCUUGGAAGGCAGAGCAACACAGAUAAUCAGGGAAGACAUUCUUCCAAGUAUCAAGAAAGGGAACCCUUGCUUCCCUGGAAGACAUUUCGUCCCAGCAAUCCCUCUACAGUUCCAUGUGACCAUUCCUACUCUGAGCCAGUUUUGGAAAGGAAG
rnacentral:lncRNA from 1 species